rnacentral:lncRNA from 1 species
GUCCACAGUGGCUGUUGUCUUCCUUUCAUACAGAGCGGGAAACUGAGGCAUAGAGUGUGUAUAACUUGUGGAUGGUCAUGUCACUGCACGCCUUACUCUGGCUGCUACAGAUGCUGCUGCCAGUGUCUGGGCAGAGAGACAUUCUUCACGGAGGGUGAGGACCAGGGACAGUAAGAGGAAGAACCCCCAGGAGAUGACUCUUUUUGGUAAGACGGGUGCAUUUGGGUAAGGAUUGGUAACUAUGCCAG